rnacentral:misc_RNA from 1 species
CUGAAGAAAUGGCAAGGUUGAGCUGGCUUCUAGGAGUAUGUGCUCGCCAUGUCGCUUUUUCUACUUUCCACUGUGCACCUUAUGUAGGCUUUAUGGACGAUGGAAGGGUCAAGUUACUCUUUCAAACUUUGUAAAGCCUAUGUCUUACAUACACUAAUCGAGUCUUUGAAUGUCUUUUAUCGUUAGGUCUUGACCGACCGAUAAGAACCUUAUA